GACGAACGCUGGCGGCGUGCUUAACACAUGCAAGUCGAACGGAAAGGCCCUGCUUUUGUGGGGUGCUCGAGUGGCGAACGGGUGAGUAACACGUGAGUAACCUGCCCUUGACUUUGGGAUAACUUCAGGAAGCUGGGGCUAAUACCGGAUAGGAGCUCCUGCUGCAUGGUGGGGGUUGGAAAGUUUCGGCGGUUGGGGAUGGACUCGCGGCUUAUCAGCUUGUUGGUGGGGUAGUGGCUUACCAAGGCUUUGACGGGUAGCCGGCCUGAGAGGGUGACCGGCCACAUUGGGACUGAGAUACGGCCCAGACUCCUACAGGAGGCAGCAGUGGGGAAUAUUGCACAAUGGGCGGAAGCCUGAUGCAGCAACGCCGCGUGCGGGAUGACGGCCUUCGGGUUGUAAACCGCUUUCGCCUGUGACGAAGCGUGAGUGACGGUAAUGGGUAAAGAAGCACCGGCUAACUACGUG
rnacentral:rRNA from 1 species